AAAGUCGCAAGACGCUUAAAGUGAGGCCUGGGCACCAUCAGCUAGUUGGUAAGGUAAUGGCUUACCAAGGCUAUGACGGUUAGGGGUCCCGAGAGGGAUAACCCCCACACUGGAACUGCGACACGGUCCAGACUCCUACGGGAGGCAGCAGUUUGGAAUUUUGGACAAUGGGCGAAAGCCUGAUCCAGCGACGCCGCGUGGACGAUGAAGGCCUUCGGGUCGUAAAGUCCUUUUGCUCGGGAACAAUAUUUUGAGCGUACCGAGAGAAUAAGAGGUUGCUAACUCUGUGCCAGCAGCAGCGGUAAUACAGAGACCUCAAGCGUUAUCCGGAAUCAUUGGGCGUAAAGCGUUCCGACAGGUGGUUUUACAAGUCAGAAGUGAAAUCUUUCAGCUUAACUGGAAGACUGUCUUUUGAAACUGUAAAACUAGAGGGGCAAAGAGGAAGCUGGAACAAGCGGUGUAGUAGUGAAAUGCGUUGAUAUCGCUUGGAAUACCAAUAGCGUAGGCAGGCUUCUGGGUGCCACCUGACACUGCUAGGACGAAAGCGUGGGGAGCGAAUGGGAUUAGAUACCCCAGUAGUCCACGCUGUAAACGAUGCACAUUAGGUGCUAGGGAGUAUCGAC
rnacentral:rRNA from 1 species